AACGAACGCUGGCGGCAUGCCUAACACAUGCAAGUCGAACGCCCUCUUCGGAGGGAGUGGCGCACGGGUGCGUAACGCGUGGGAACCUGCCCUUAGGUUCGGAAUAACUCAGAGAAAUUUGAGCUAAUACCGGAUAAUGUCUUCGGACCAAAGAUUUAUCGCCUUUGGAUGGGCCCGCGUUGGAUUAGCUAGUUGGUAGGGUAAAGGCCUACCAAGGCGACGAUCCAUAGCUGGUCUUAGAGGAUGAUCAGCCACACUGGGACUGAGACACGGCCCAGACUCCUACGGGAGGCAGCAGUGGGGAAUAUUGGACAAUGGGCGAAAGCCUGAUCCAGCAAUGCCGCGUGAGUGAUGAAGGCCUUAGGGUUGUAAAGCUCUUUUACCAGGGAUGAUAAUGACAGUACCUGGAGAAUAAGCUCCGGCUAACUCCGUGCCAGCCGCCGCGGUAACAC
rnacentral:rRNA from 1 species